rnacentral:rRNA from 1 species
CAGAAGAGACAGGUGGUGCAUGGUUGUCGUCAGCUCGUGUCGUGAGAUGUUGGGUUAAGUCCCGCAACGAGCGCAACCCUUGUCAUUAGUUGCCAUCAUUUAGUUGGGCACUCUAGUGAGACUGCCGGGGAGUAACUCGGAGGAAGGUGGGGAUGACGUCAAAUCAUCAUGCCCCUUAUGUCCUGGGCUACACACGUGCUACAAUGGCUGGUACAAAGAGACGCAAGAUCGCGAGGUGGAGCAAAUCUUCAAAACCAGUCCCAGUUCGGAUUGUAGGCUGAAACUCGCCUGCAUGAAGUCGGAGUUGCUAGUAAUCGUGAAUCAGAAUGUCACGGUGAAUGCGUUCCCGGGUCUU